AUUGAACGCUGGCGGCAGGCCUAACACAUGCAAGUCGAGCGGUAGAGAGAAGCUUGCUUCUCUUGAGAGCGGCGGACGGGUGAGUAAUGCCUAGGAAUCUGCCUAGUGGUGGGGGAUGACGUUCGGAAACGGACGCUAAUACCGCAUACGUCCUACGGGAGAAAGCGGGGGAUCUUCGGACCUCGCGCCAUUAGAUGAGCCUAGGUCGGAUUAGCUAGUUGGUGAGGUAAUGGCUCACCAAGGCGACGAUCCGUAACUGGUCUGAGAGGAUGAUCAGUCACACUGGAACUGAGACACGGUCCAGACUCCUACGGGAGGCAGCAGUGGGGAAUAUUGGACAAUGGGCGAAAGCCUGACCCAGCCAUGCCGCGUGUGUGAAGAAGGUCUUCGGAUUGUAAAGCACUUUAAGUUGGGAGGAAGUGCAGUAACCUAAUACGUUAUUGUUUUGACGUUACCGACAGAAUAAGCACCGGCUAACUUCGUGCCAGCCGCCGCCGUAAUAC
rnacentral:rRNA from 1 species